UCCCUACGGGGUGCAGCAGGCGCGAAACUUGUGCAAUGCGCGUAAGCGCGACACAGGAAACCUGAGUGCCUUGACAAUGUCAAGGCUUUUCUUAAGCUUAAAAAGCUCAAGGAAUAAGGGCUGGGUAAGACGGGUGCCAGCCGCCGCGGUAACACCCGCAGCCCAAGUGGUGGUCAUGAUUAUUGAGUCUAAAGCGUUCGUAGCCGGUUUCGUAAAUCUUUAGAUAAAUCCUUCCGCUCAACGGAAGGACCUCUGAAGAGACUGCGAAGCUAGGGAAUGGGUGAGGUUGAAUGUACUUCUGGGGUAGGGGUAAAAUCCUGUAAUCCUGGAAGGACAACCAGUGGCGAAGGCGUUCAACUAGAACAUAUCCGACGGUGAGGAACGAAGGCUAAGGGAGCAAACCGGAUUAGAUACCCGGGUAGUCUUAGCUGUAAACACUGCCCACUUGGUGUUGCCUCUCCGUUGAGGGGGGGCAGUGCCGGAGCGAAGGUGUUAAGUGGGCCACUUGGGGAGUAUGGUCGCAAGGCUGAAACUUAAAGGAAUUGGCGG
rnacentral:rRNA from 1 species